AUGGGGUGGUGGGGGUAUAGUCCUUUUUUGAAGACUCCCAGUUCUGAAUGCUGCAGUCCAUGGGGGUCCAAAGAGUCAGACACGACUGAGCAACUGAACAACAACAACUUCCAUCCAGAACGACUGUGUUUGCAAGACACUAGAGAGAAACUCCUUUUGACUCUUGGAAACACAUGAGGCAAGCAUGAAAAUAUGGCCAAUGCUUUAAAAGAGAAAUGAAUACUUUCUCUUCUGGUUAGAAAGAUAAAUGCAGGUCAAUAAAGUUAAGUAAAUGUUAUACCUGUUUUAAGAGUGGUAUUGACCAUGGAAAUGCAAGUGCUACCCUAAUUAAAAGUGGCUGCUGGGAUGGUCAUGCAUUAUCUCGACUUGCUAGUGAAAUUACUUUCCUUUGUCUAAGCCUUCUUUCUAUGAGGGUAUUUCACACCAGAAAUGGCUAUAAACACCUAAAUUUCUGGAAGAUGCAGUCUACUUCUUUUCCCUGACAUCUUGCUAAAGAAAACAGAGAUUUAAUUCCCUUGCAUAUGACACAGAGUUAUAGUUACUUAAAAAUGUACUCUAAAUCCUGCAAGUUUGUUAUCUACUUGUUUGGUAAACAUUGGGCUUCCCUGGGUGGCUCAGACAGUAAAGAAUCUGCCUGCAAUGCAGGAGACCCAGGUU
rnacentral:lncRNA from 1 species